CUCUCUUGCUUCUGUUCCUGCUGUGGAAGACACCUUGCUCCCCCUUUGCCUUCCAUCAUGAUUGAAAGCUCUGUGAGGACUCUCCAGAAACAGAAGCCACUAUGCUUUCUGUACAGCCUGUGGAACUCCAUGUUCCUGCUCUCUUGUUCACUUUUCACCACGAUUGUAAGUUUCCUGAGACCUCGCCAGAAUCAGAAGCCACUGUGUUUCCUGUACAGCUUGCAGAACUGUGAGCCAAUUAAACCUCAUUCCUUUAUAAAUUA